rnacentral:rRNA from 1 species
GUAGGUGAACCUUGCGGAAGGAUCAUA